UAAACCGAAUAGCCCCCUCCUAACGUCAUCGCCGCCACCCCACCUCCCAUCACGUCACCUCACCACCACCACGCCCAUAUCCCACAAAAUCCGCUACCUACACCCCUCUUCUCUUUUCUCACACUCCAUCUCUGAAGCUUCCAGGAACCAUGUGCAAAUUCAGCAGAUUUCAUGGAUUCGGAGACUCGACGACGACAUUAGCCUCCAUUCGCUGUCACGGAAAAGGUAAUCACGUUCGUCCUAUCUUCGUCUUAAAUUUUGUUAAAGUAGAAAUGUAGUCGUCGAGCAUUUCUCAUCGUUUAUUUGGUUUAGUUGGCUAGAUUGUGUUGGCUCCUCGUUUGUUGUAAAUUAGUGUAAUGCGACUAAUUUCGUCGAAUAUGUGUUCAACCCCAUCGCUGCUCUUGAAUAAGAUUUUUUUUUAGACAGGAUAAAAUUAGUUUGGUUUAGGGAUGAAGAUUACUGCGUUUGCGCUGUUUUAGUAUAGUUGUUCGUAUGACUUAGCUCUAAUUCAGAUCAGAUUCAGUUAAUGCCAACAUACUUAUGAACUAGAAGCUUUAAGCAAGUUUUCACAAAAAUGCCCAUUUUAGCUUUGUUGUGGGAAUUGGAGUAAGCUCAUGGAUUAGCAGUUCUCUCUAUGGUCCUAAGUGUUGUUUGGUUAAAUUAGUUAGAUUCAUCUAAGAUAAUAUAAGGUGAAUAAUGAUUUACGGUCCAGCAGUUAUUAAGGUUUGAUCAUGGUUCCUGAUUAAGUACAAUUGUUUAAAUACGAUAAGUUUGAUCCCUUGUUCUUGAUAAGCCUAAUCUGAGAUGAUAAUAGGACCAGGCUUAGACCAUAAUCUCACCACUGUAACAAGAUAUUUUGGAACAUUUAACUAGGAUAAGCUCUUGAUAAUAGUCACUAAUGAUGAGAAAUGCUUCCUUUAAAGUGUUUAAAUUCGUAUGUUGGUUUUAACAGUAAAAUUACCUGGCAUGUAUGCCUUUGUGAUUAGUUUCAUUUCAUUUGGAGUCCCUCCUUGUUUGUGUGCUGUGAACCAUGACAAAGUUAAACACAUAUUCUUCCUUUCUUUUAGCAUGAUGAGAUUCAUUACAUUUAUUGCUAAAAGUCAAUCCGUAGUUUUUUUUUUAACUAAAUGCAAUUGUUGACUUUAGCCCUUAUUUGUUUCGUAAGUUUACAAUUGAGGUGCUGAUUAAAUGCUUCAAAACCUGUGAGGUUCAUCACAAAUAUGUGACUAGCUUGAGCGUAUUUUAAGUAAUUUAUCUAUUGUCUUGCAUACAUUAAUAUUCACUGAGUAUCAGGUUUCUGUGUCCGGAUGUUUGAAUCAAGUUUGGCUCCAUACUUAGAAGGGUCUAAGGACAGUCUAAUACCUCCGAUAGCAGCUCUACAUCUAACUUAUUUGAUGGCCAUGUUUAAGGGAUUGAUACUACUGGUUGAGGACUGUAGGUUUUCUUCUGAUUCCUUGAAAAAAAAAACCUUUUUUUUUUAAAUCAAUUACUCUCUGUUGAUUAGACCUCCAAGUAUGACGGUGUUGUUGGGGUCUUUAGCUUGUUUGAAUUCGGAUAGCCUCUGGAAAAGAAUGCCAUUUUUUGUGAAGAAGCUCAUGUUACUUGCUUGGAGUAUACCUAUGAGAAACAUAUAUUAGAAGGGCUGUUGUAUUGUUAUGACCUUGCGUGAAAAAGUUCAGGUUAGUCGCUUGCCUGUGUGGUGCUUGAGUGAUGAAUUUGAUGACGACUUGCUAUACCAAAUUUCUCUGUUUGAUAGUAUCAAAUCUGGCUUAAGUACUUCCCAUUCAUGCUAGUUGUAAAAAAUAUGUCUUUAACUAGUGUUCUUCAAAUAGGCAGAUUCUCAGAUUCUUUAUCUUUGGAGUUAUCACUUAUAUUUGUCUGACUUAUGAUUUUUCAAUAUUCAUAGUUACAUUAUGAGCAUGGUUUGUUGUAUUCAUUUACUCUUAGGUCUUGAGCUUGACUCAUUUUGUCAUCCUAACCACUUUUUCCACUUAGACUGAGUAGGAUUGCCGUUUAAUAGAUAAAGAGGUUUUAUUUGUUUUGGCUGCUGCUUUUGUUGGAAAUUAUUUCCGGAUACUCAUUCUUCUUCACCCUUCCUGUUCUUUGCAUGACUUGGGGAGUUUCAAACCUCAAAUGAUAUCGCAUAUCUGAGGAAGACAUGCUGCUCGUUUGAUUUUCUUAUUGCUGAGUUUUACUUGAGGCUAAAAGUUGCCACAUUUAGAGUCAUUAGCUACUGCGUUUAGGGCACUGCUCUUGCUACCUUUUGAGCAAGCUAAUGCUCAGUGUUGAUUAUUGAAAUGAGCUACAUUCUGAGGCAAUUCGAGGAAAAGAUAUUGUUGUUAUGUUUGUUGCAAUUUUGUUAUCAUGUUGGCUGCCAUGAGUUGCUGUAUUCUUGACCAUUUGCACCGCCUUUGGGAUUUAUUAACUGCGGCAUUUUGGUGGUUCAGUGUUGCUGAGUUUCUGCUGCAAUUUUGGGCCAUUUGUUGCUUCAUUUUUGGCCAUUUACACCUCAGUUUGGGACUGAUUUAGUGCCAGUAUUUUUGUUGCAUGUUGACUGUAUUUUGGGGCUGAAAAAUGCCAUCUUUGAGUGAUUUAGUUGCUGUGCAAUGGCUGCACUAAAGGGCUGAGUUUUCGUUCUAUUUUGAGGCUCAUUCAGGGUUGAAACUGCUGCUAUAUUUAGCUAGUUGUUGUUGAUAUUUUGAACCAAGUUUUGGGCAGCUUUGAGGUCAUAGGCUGUUGGUUAUUAAAGACAAACAGUUGCUGCAUUUUUUAGCUGAAACGCUGCUCUGUUCUUGGCUGUUUGCUGCUGUAUUUUGAGACUUGUUGAGUUGCUGCAUUGUUGAGCUUAUCGUUGUUGGAAUCUUGGACCAGCCUGUGGCUUCAUGUUGGCGAAAAAUAGCUGUUGCUAUACUAAAGGACACAACUACUAUAUCUUUGAAAUGUUAUUUUGAGGGGUUGGCAUCUACCUCUACCUCAAUGCCCAUUAUGAGUUAAUGUCUUGUAUGCUAUAUGCUUGCUGUGGCAUAUUGUAGAAUUGCUGCUGUUAAGUUUGAGGUCAAAAAUUGUUGCCCUAUGAGUGAUUGAGUUGCUGCCCUGUUAAAAUAUAUAUAUAUAUAUAUAAUGAGCAGGUGCUUCAUUCAUUCGAACAGACUGCUACACUUGAAAUAUUCACUGAUAAGAAUAUAUACUACACUGGGGCCGAUGAAAAAAAAUUAAUUUGAGGCCAUGCCUUUGUCCGAAAAGGUUAUCCCUCAGUUUAGGCGUUGAUGACCUCAUAGUAGUAUCAAGAGGUAGGAACGAACAUGCGUUUGGCGAGGCAACUAGAAUGGCCACUAGUCUGCAGCCAAGACAUGUUUCGGAUUCCUUUGCCAUAUUCGGAACCGUAAGUCUGAGCCUCCGUAAUCAAAGCUCUCAAAGUUUGAUACGAGUCCGCGGGAUAUUAUUUAUGUUCCUAAACAUCACCCUAUGGGGUGGCGUAUCAUUUUUUCUAACAUUUUCCUUUCAUAUUUUUGCGAGGUACAAAUAACGCGAGGCAGUAGAACAAAGAUGUACCAAUAGUUGAAGCGAAGAAAUUUGGAAGCACGGCCUGUUUGGCCGAAGAACUAGAAAAGGGGCAAAUAGGGCUCAAGUCUUAAACCUUAUUUAUUUCUAUCUAAAUUUAUGUAUCCAAGUAUUACAUGUAUAUUUGGAUCUAUAACAAAUUGCUAACUUAUUUACUCUGGUUUUCCUUCUUAAUCCAGUUGAAACCCGAAGCUUGCCAA